UACGAAGGGGGCUAGCGUUGUUCGGAAUUACUGGGCGUAAAGCGUGCGCAGGCGGCUUCUCAAGUCAGGGGUGAAAGCCCAGAGCUCAACUCUGGAAUUGCCUUUGAGACUGAGUGGCUUGAGUACGAGAGAGGUGAGUGGAAUUCCCAGUGUAGAGGUGAAAUUCGUAGAUAUUGGGAAGAACGCCGGUGGCGAAAGCGGCGUGCUGGCCCUCUUCUGACGCUGAGGCGCGAAAGCCAGGGGAGCGAACGGG
rnacentral:rRNA from 1 species